rnacentral:tRNA from 1 species
AGCAAGGUACAAUCAGUCUGGCAGAUGGCAGGGCUCAUAACCCUAGCGGACGCGGGUUCAAAUCCCGCCCUUGCAACCA